CAACCGUACCUAAGCCCGCUGU
rnacentral:siRNA from 1 species